rnacentral:lncRNA from 1 species
GAAUAUAUUUAUAUGACAACAUCAAACUUCAUAUAGCAUCAUCAGUUCCAUACGUAUAUAAUUACACUACAAGGCUACAAAGGUACCAUCCACAAAAGGAUCUGCUAACUACAAUAAUACUAGCAAAAUACACCGGCUUGCAACUACCACCAGAUGUAUCAACAUCAGUUCCAUACAUACACUACAAGGCUACAAAGGUACCAUCCACAAAAGGAUCUGCCAACUACAACAAUACUAGCAAAAUACGCCGGCUUGCAACUACCACCAGAUCUUAGUUCUCAUUCCUAAGCCAUACCAGAUACACAAGUCCACAAAAGAGCAUAUUACGACCACAUAUAGUCUGAUGUUAUCAUGUUGAUUGAGCAAUCAGUUUCCGCCAUGGUUGGCUGCGUCAACGGUCUGAUCGCCGACAUUCCCAGCGGCUUCAUCCUCCUCGCUUGACUCCAUGACAUCAUUGUUGCCAUCAACCGCUUGCGAGCCGGCUUGAGAUGAGUUAUUUGUCCCCUGAAUCAAGAAGUAACCUAAUUGUUAUUUAAUCUGAUUUAGAACAAUAAAAAUACAAUACUUUGUUGGAUAACAAGUGGAGACAACAUAACCAAAUGAACCAAAUAAUAUCCAUUUAUUGAUUAAUGCUUGGCACCAAGAACUGAUUUUGUCUAGG